GCAGCGAUAGCUCAAUGGCUAGAGCGCCCCUCCAAUUAUCUGCCAGGUCCGCGUGGCUCGAAAACGAGAACGCGUGACCUGGAGAUGCCGCUGGAUUGAGGGGAGAUGUGGGUUCGAAUCUCACUUGCUGCG
rnacentral:tRNA from 1 species